GUCCACGCCGUAAACGUUGGCACUAGGUGUGGGUCCCUAUCGACGGGAUCCGUGCCGUAGCUAACGCAUUAAGUGCCCCGCCUGGUGAGUACGGCCGCAAGGCUAAAACUCAAAGGAAUUGACGGGGGCCCGCACAAGCGGCGGAGCAUGUUGCUUAAUUCGAGGCAACGCGAAGAACCUUACCUGGGCUUGACAUGUAGGGAAAAGCCGUAGAGAUACGGUGUCCUUAUGGGCCCUACACAGGUGGUGCAUGGCUGUCGU
rnacentral:rRNA from 1 species